GUUUAAUCGGAUUAUGGCACGUAAACGUCAGAUUAGGAAUUUAGACCACUGUUCGAUCAUGGGUUUGUGCGAUUUUAAGCAGAUGAUGCAGAAGCAGUUUUGUUUUGAUCAAAAAUGGACUUAGGCAACUUGCAUCUUAGAACGACGAUACGGAAUUCCGAAAAAUGAUGUCUCUACCAGCAAUCAGUGAUCCUUUAAUGGUCUUCAAUUGACUAUUCAGUUGAAAACUACCUAUGAGAAUGCCAACUAUGGAAUACCUAUUGAACAGCAACCAGGUUAUGAGAAAUGUCGUCUUGCCAACAAACGAAGGAAUAAAUAUUGAGUUUAACAAACUGA